AUGAAUGACAUACCAAAGCUUACGGGAAGCAGCUAAAGCAAUGCUUAAAAGGAAAAUUAUAACUGUAAAUGCCUACAUUAAAAAAGAAGAUAGAUGUCAAUUCAAUAAAGUAAUUUUUGACUUUAAAACACUGAAGAAAGAAGAGCAAACUAAACUUAAACCAAAAGAAGAAAAGAAAUAAUAAAGAUUACAGUGAAAAUAAAUAAAACAGAGAAUAGAAAAACAGGAGAGAAAGCCAAUGAAAACAAAAUCCUAGUUCUUUGAAUUAUCAAUAAAUUUGACAAACCUUUAGCUGAGCCAGCCAAGAAAAACAGAAGGCUCAAAUUACUAAAAUUAGGAAUGAAAGAGGGAACAUCACCACUUAUUUUGCAGGAUCAUAUGGGAAUAUUGUACUAUGAACAACUGCAUCUCAACAAAUUAGACAACCUAGUGAAAUGGA
rnacentral:lncRNA from 10 species